UUAACACAUGCAAGUCGAGGGGAAACGACAUCGAAAGCUUGCUUUUGAUGGGCGUCGACCGGCGCACGGGUGAGUAACGCGUAUCCAACCUGCCCACCACUUGGGGAUAACCUUGCGAAAGUAAGACUAAUACCCAAUGACGUCUCUAGAGGACAUCUGAAAGAGAUUAAAGAUUUAUCGGUGAUGGAUGGGGAUGCGUCUGAUUAGCUUGUUGGCGGGGUAACGGCCCACCAAGGCUACGAUCAGUAGGGGUUCUGAGAGGAAGGUCCCCCACAUUGGAACUGAGACACGGUCCAAACUCCUACGGGAGGCAGAGUGAGGAAUAUUGGUCAAUGGACGAGAGUCUGAACCAUCCAAGUAGCGUGCAGGAUGACGGCCCUAUGGGUUGUAAACUGCUUUUAUAAGGGAAUAAAGUGAGUCUCGUGAGACUUUUUGCAUGUACCUUAUGAAUAAGGACCGGCUAAUUCCGUGCCAGCAGCCGCGGUAAUACGGAAGGUCCGGGCGUUAUCCGGAUUUAUUGGGUUUAAAGGGAGCGUAGGCCGGAGAUUAAGCGUGUUGUGAAAUGUAGAUGCUCAACAUCUGCACUGCAGCGCGAACUGGUUUCCUUGAGUACGCACAAAGUGGGCGGAAUUCGUGGUGUAGCGGUGAAAUGCUUAGAUAUCACGAAGAACUCCGAUUGCGAAGGCAGCUCACUGGAGCGCAACUGACGCUGAAGCUCGAAAGUGCGGGUAUCGAACAGGAUUAGAUACCCUGGUAGUCCGCACGGUAAACGAUGGAUGCCCGCUGUUGGUCUGAAUAGGUCAGCGGCCAAGCGAA
rnacentral:rRNA from 1 species